rnacentral:rRNA from 1 species
GCAGGCCUAACACAUGCAAGUCGAGCGGUAGAGAGAAGCUUGCUUCUCUUGAGAGCGGCGGACGGGUGAGUAAUGCCUAGGAAUCUGCCUGGUAGUGGGGGAUAACGUUCGGAAACGGACGCUAAUACCGCAUACGUCCUACGGGAGAAAGCAGGGGACCUUCGGGCCUUGCGCUAUCAGAUGAGCCUAGGUCGGAUUAGCUAGUUGGUGAGGUAAUGGCUCACCAAGGCGACGAUCCGUAACUGGUCUGAGAGGAUGAUCAGUCACACUGGAACUGAGACACGGUCCAGACUCCUACGGGAGGCAGCAGUGGGGAAUAUUGGACAAUGGGCGAAAGCCUGAUCCAGCCAUGCCGCGUGUGUGAAGAAGGUCUUCGGAUUGUAAAGCACUUUAAGUUGGGAGGAAGGGUUGUAGAUUAAUACUCUGCAAUUUUGACGUUACCGACAGAAUAAGCACCGGCUAACUCUGUGCCAGCAGCCGCGGUAAUACAGAGGGUGCAAGCGUUAAUCGGAAUUACUGGGCGUAAAGCGCGCGUAGGUGGUUUGUUAAGUUGGAUGUGAAAUCCCCGGGCUCAACCUGGGAACUGCAUUCAAAACUGACUGACUAGAGUAUGGUAGAGGGGUUGGUGGGAAUUUUCCUGUGUAGCGGUGAAAUGCGUAGAUAUAGGAAGGAACACCAGUGGCGAAG